rnacentral:rRNA from 1 species
GGGCCCGCACAAGCGGCGGAGCAUGCGGAUUAAUUCGAUGCAACGCGAAGAACCUUACCUGGGUUUAACAUACACCGGAAGCCUCUAGAGAUAGGGGUCUCUUUGAUACUGGUGUACAGGUGGUGCAUGGCUGUCGUCAGCUCGUGUCGUGAGAUGUUGGGUUAAGUCCCGCAACGAGCGCAACCCUCGUUCUAUGUUGCCAGCACGUGAUGGUGGGGACUCAUAGGAGACUGCCGGGGUCAACUCGGAGGAAGGUGGGGAUGACGUCAAAUCAUCAUGCCCCUUAUGUCUAGGGCUGCAAACAUGCUACAAUGGCCGGUACAAAGGGCUGCGAUACCGUGAGGUGGAGCGAAUCCCAAAAAGCCGGUCUCAGUUCGGAUUGGGGUCUGCAACUCGACCCCAUGAAGUUGGAGUCGCUAGUAAUCGCAGA